rnacentral:rRNA from 1 species
GAUGAACGCUGGCGGCGUGCCUAAUACAUGCAAGUCGAGCGAACGGACGAGACGCUUGCUUCUCUGAUGUUAGCGGCGGACGGGUGAGUAACACGUGGAUAACCUACCUAUAAGACUGGGAUAACUUCGGGAAACCGUAGCUAAUACCGGAUAAUAUUUUGAACCGCAUGGUUCAAAAGUGAAAGACGGUCUUGCUGUCACUUAUAGAUGGAUCCGCGCUGCAUUAGCUAGUUGGUAAGGUAACGGCUUACCAAGGCAACGAUGCAUAGCCGACCUGAGAGGGGGAUCGGCCACACGGGAACUGAGACACGGUCCAGACGCCUACGGGAGGGAGCAGUAGGGAAUCUUCCGCAAUGGGCGAAAGCCUGACGGAGCAACGCCGCGUGAGUGAUGAAGGUCUUCGGAUCGUAAAACUCUGUUAUUAGGGAAGAACAGAUGUGUAAGGAACUGUGCACAUCUUGACGGUACCGAAUCAGAAAGCCACGGCUAACUACGUG